rnacentral:lncRNA from 1 species
UUUUAUUCCAAAUUUCCCAGAAUUUUGUGAAUUUUAAAUGGAAUUUUUUGCUUUUUAAUGAGAUUUUCUCCAGAUUUUUUAAAUAAUUUGGGAAAUAUUUCAUUUUUUUAUGGAAUAUUCCCAAAAUAUUCCCAAUUUUUCCUGGAAUUCUCUCCUCAGGUCGCCAUGGAGACGGAUCCUAUUGGCCCCUGGACAUCGACCGCAGCAUCAAUGAUUCUCCAGUUGGACAAAGAAAUUCAGCUCCAGGCACCGGAAUUUUGCUCCUCAUCCUUGGAAUAUCCGGAGGCGUCUCCGUGGUGGCCGCGGCCGUCGGAGCCUGGAUCUGCUCCAGGAGAAACGAGGAGAGGAAGAGGAAGUAAGGAAAUUCCCAAAGGGGAUUUUGAGGGGGAAAAUUGGGAAAAAAUUGGGAUUUUUUUGGGAAUUUUUUGGGAUUUUUUUGGGAUUUUUUUGGGAUUUUUUUUGGUUUUUUUUUUUAAUUUUUUGGGAAUUUUUUUGGGAUUUUUUGAGAAUUUUUGGGGGAUUUUUUGGGAUUUUUUGGGGAUUUUUUUAGGAUUUUUUGGGAAUUUUUUGGGAUUUUUUGGGGAUUUUUUUGGGGAUUUUUUGGAUUUUUUGGGGAUUUUUUUUGGAUUUUUAGGGAUUUCUCAAGGGGUUUUUUGGAGAAUUUUUUAG